rnacentral:rRNA from 1 species
GACGAACGCUGGCGGCGUGCUUAACACAUGCAAGUCGAACGAAGAGCGAUGGAAGCUUGCUUCUAUCAAUCUUAGUGGCGAACGGGUGAGUAACGCGUAAUCAACCUGCCCUUCAGAGGGGGACAACAGUUGGAAACGACUGCUAAUACCGCAUACGAUCCAAUCUCGGCAUCGGGACUGGAUGAAAGGUGGCCUCUAUUUAUAAGCUAUCACUGAAGGAGGGGAUUGCGUCUGAUUAGCUAGUUGGAGGGGUAACGGCCCACCAAGGCGAUGAUCAGUAGCCGGUCUGAGAGGAUGAACGGCCACAUUGGGACUGAGACACGGCCCAGACUCCUACGGGAGGCAGCAGUGGGGAAUCUUCCGCAAUGGACGAAAGUCUGACGGAGCAACGCCGCGGGAGGGAUGACGGCCUUCGGGUUGUAAAGCUCUGUUAAUCGGGACGAAUGGUUCUUGUGCGAAUAGUGCGAGGAUUUGACGGUACCGGAAUAGAAAGCCACGGCUAACUACGUG